GGGGAUGUGGCACAGUUGGUAGAGUGCAUGCCUAGCAUGCACCAAGGCUCUAGGUUCGAUCCCCAGCACUACCA
rnacentral:tRNA from 1 species